UUUUUAGGGUCGGCCUGGUCAGCAGACCUAAUUGACUGCUACUGAUUAUAGUAUUUAUGUAAACCAACUCGCCCUCAGCCAUAAUGCAGCCUAACGGAGCUGCUCGUAAAAACAUCUGUGCAUGACUAAUGUUGUUAGGUGACGUGACUGAGUUGACUUCCUAUGGGCUGCCUAUCUAUUAGAUUUACUACAACCCCACCCUGGAUUCGGAUCCAACAUGCACAGCUAACAGAGGAUGAACACAAUAACAAAUAUAUGAUCCAUGGACUGCUACAGGAGUGAUUUCCUCUGCUCUUCUCCAGGGGUGACACUGAUGCUGCACAUCACUGAGGUAAUACUCUCGACACAGCGAACUGGCACAAAAGAUCGCAGAGCUUUGUGAACAGUUCAGAUGAUGUAGCUGUUAAAUGUGAUGUGGGAAUCUACUG
ensembl:lncRNA